rnacentral:rRNA from 1 species
AGAGUUUGAUCAUGGCUCAGGACGAACGCUGGCGGCGUGCUUAACACAUGCAAGUCGAACGAGGUCCAACCAAUGGCAACAUUGGGGAAGACCUAGUGGCGAACGGGUGAGUAACACGUGAGGAACCUGCCCCGAAGACCGGGAUAACCCUCCGAAAGGAGAGCUAAUACCCGGAUACCCCCAUCUGAUCGCAUGGUCGGAUGAGGAAAUGGAUUCCGCUUCGGGAGGGCCUCGCGGCCUAUCAGCUUGUUGGCGGGGUAACGGCCCACCAAGGCAUCGACGGGUAGCUGGUCUGAGAGGACGAUCAGCCACACUGGGACUGAGACACGGCCCAGACUCCUACGGGAGGCAGCAGUGGGGAAUCUUGCGCAAUGGGCGAAAGCCUGACGCAGCAACGCCGCGUGGGGGAUGAAGGCUCUCGGGUUGUAAACCCCUUUCAGCAGGGACGAAACUGACGGUACCUGCAGAAGAAGCCCCGGCCAACUACGUGCCAGCAGCCGCGGUAACACGUAGGGGGCAAGCGUUGUCCGGAUUUAUUGGGCGUAAAGAGCUCGUAGGUGGUUCGGUAAGUCGGGUGUGAAACCUCCAGGCUCAACCCGGAGACGCCACCCGAUACUGCUGUGACUGGAGUCCGGUAGGGGAGCGUGGAAUUCCUGGUGUAGCGGUGAAAUGCGCAGAUAUCAGGAGGAACACCAGCGGCGAAGGCGGCGCUCUGGGCCGGUACUGACACUGAGGAGCGAAAGCGUGGGUAGCAAACAGGAUUAGAUACCCUAGUAGUCC